rnacentral:lncRNA from 10 species
CACACCUCGGGUUUUCCCAGAUGACUCGUUAAAACGUUUACAAAUCCCAAACCUCCUUUUUCACAAAGUGCUGCCUUUUCCUGCUUUUUACUUGCAAGCCACUUGAUGUUUAUUUGACUACAUUAAAACAGAAUGGUUGUCUUUUUUUCUUCAAGGUCAACCAGACAGUUAAGCUGUCACUGUUCAUCAUGUAUUCAUCUUAACGCAGAACAUUGCAAAGUGCAUGUUGUCUUUUUCCAGUUAAAGGUAACGUGUGAUGCAGUCAGUGUUUCAGAUGGAAAAAUGGACUUUGAAUCCCUGCGUCCCAUCCGAGGGCAGACUGGGUCUGCCCCUCCUCCACCAGUGCAGUCCCCUGGGAGGGCUGCUGUGGGCAGUGAGUGAGGAGGCCAGGGCCGUGCCCAGUACAGUCCUGACGAGCCUCUGACCUCGCUCCACUUUUACCCCAAUGGCUAACUUAGAGGCACGUUGUUUUGUUUCCAGUCCCACGUCCACCAUUCCUUUUAGUAACUCUUUUCCAUUUCAUCACGUUUUCAUGAUCAGUCACAAGGAAAUAUUCAGAUCUCAGCAACAAAUUAAAUGCACCGAAGCUCAAAGGCCUGGGUUCCAGAACCCAGCUCCCUACUAGCUCUGUGAUGUGGGCCAACACACUACGUAUCUGAAGGAGAAAUUCUCAUCUUCCUAAAUUCGCGAGUUGGUGAGGAGCUCUCAAGAGCAAAUGCAUGGAAAUGCACCUUUAACUGGGAGAAUUGUGUUCAAAUAUGAUGCAGCUGCUUCAUCACCUCCCUCUGCUUCAGUUUGUCAUUUGUAAAACUGGGGUUGAGGAUAGCAAAUGUGCUGGAAGAUUGUCAGGAUUAAAAAUUGUAUCUGCAAGGAGCUUAGCCCCAGUCCUGGCACAAAGGUGUACAGGACUCAGAAACAGAAAGAUCUGGGGUGGGUCAAAAGCAGACACAUGCACCCAGUUGGCAUUCUCAGGAUGUCUUGAGCCCUUCACUGUUUCUAGAAGGUGCCUGUGCUUUGCUGUCCCUGCCACCUGCUCCCUCUCUUCCAUCAAGUUACCCUAAAAUAUGACAGACAGAAAUGGGGACUGCUGGCUUUGGCCAUGAAAACAUCCGCCCGCUUCCGGCUUGCAGGGAAUAACUUGUGGUUUCCUCUGCUGCACAUGCAAGUCAUGAAGACGAUUUUCAUCUUUGCUUCAUCAUCAGUCAUAGCUCUUACGAUCUGCCCACUUCUGAGAGUCCUUUUCUUAGAGAGGGACAUGUACUGCUGGCAGAGGAGGAGCUCUCAGCGAAGAAAAUGGCAUUACUGAGCAUUUGUUGAAUUUUGCAGUGACCUCCUUGUUUUGAAACGAUCAAAUCAAUCCUUAUUUGUGUAACUCAGGAGUGCAGAGUGCAUUGCCCACACUCUGUCACUGUGAGGGUCAGUGCUUGCUGUGGUUGAGGGAUGAAGAAAACUUUGGAUAUCAAGUGGCCUCAGGGCAACAGAACAGGUUUUCAAGGGACUAUCACCUUUCCCUAGCAAACAACAACAGUGGCAGCUACAAGGCAAAUACGGAAAUGAUCUUUGGUGUGCACAGAUCACAAAGUUUGCACCUGCACAAUCGGCUGGUUAUGAACUCGGAGAAAUUUCUCUCUUGCAUCCUGACUGUUCUUUCUUAGCCCAUUGCCUGUGUGGUGGCCCAUGCCAGCAGCCUCUUCUGUCCUGUUUCUACAAGUGCAGGGACGUUACUGACAAGCCCAGUCUCACACCCUGUAUGGGCAAAUGCCUAGAACAGGGCUUAAAUGAGAAGACAGAUGUGCUUCAGAGUCCAACAGAUCUCUCAAAUGCCAGCUCCAGAAGUUUCUAACCAUGAGAACUGAUUAACACAUGGGAGCUUUAACCUCCCUCUUUCUAAAGUGGGCAUGGGGAUGUCUACUGCUCAGGUUUACUGAGAGGAUGGGUGCAAUUCUGUACUUGCCGUUCAAAUCCAGGACAGCCCUGAGGCUGCUGCCCCAGAUCCCAGGAGCUCAGGGUGCCUCUGUCUGCAGAGGCUGGAGAAAAAUUUAUCUCUUGGCAGAACUCAGCACUCAGCAAACAGAGUAUUCUGCUUCAAAUUCCAGUUCAAUCCUGAGUUCUAGUAUCUUAAAGAUAGAGACCUGAGACCGUUCAGAUAUUGUGUCUAACUCCUGUAGAACUUAGAAUCAUGAAAAGAUCCUACGCAACAGGUUCUGUUCAGUCCCUUGGCCAAUUUCAGCAUGGUGACUUUUUCUCUGCCUACGUGUCUAAAACACGAUUUUUAUUUAAUCUUACAUAAUAAGAUCACAGUGUCAGCAUCAGAGCUGAGAGGAGAACUCAGGAUUCUGGCUCCUAUUCCUGCUUGCUUCCUACUGAAUCAUGUUCAUCACAGCUUCUGUGACCUCAGAAACCUCAGGCAACUCACGUAUGGGGAAUGAAGAAUGGAUUGCAACAGCGUCAGCUCUCGCCUUAUCUACCUGAAUUUUUGACUUCCCUUGUUACUUCAUGUUUAUGCCUUUAUUUCCCCUCCCAUCAUCCCUCCCCAAAUCAAAGAGCCUUUACCUUGUAUUUUAUAUAUGUCCCAAACAUAAGCUACCCUGGCUUCUAGAAAAAUAGUGGCUGUGUACAAACCAUCCUUCUGUGUGGCUGUCAAACCAGCUAGGGAACCCUCUGUUUGGCUACUAGAUUUUUGCCUUGAUCAUAGAACAUUUGAGAUCUUUGAUAAAUGAAUGGGUGUUAUUUGAAUUUUCUAUAUUUAAAUUUAUUUUUACACCCAGAAGCUGAUCUCAAGCAAGACGUUCACAUGCUAACUAUUGGGUUGGGUGGCAGGCACCAUUAAGAGAAGCAGCAAUUCUCCUUCAGGUACUGUGGCAUGAACAGAAAAAAUAGUCAUUGGCUAAGUUGUUGUUCUACAUUAGGGUUACAUGCUCAUGACUGCAGAACACAAAUGACCAGGAUUUUAGUCUCACUGAGAGCAGGCUUUCAUCCUGGAGCAGCUUUUGGGGCCCAGGAUCUGACCUCUGCAGGGGGACUGAGCAAGGCUGCAGUGACUCACCUCCCUGCACUCGCACCCACAGAUGGUCCUGAGUCAGAAGCCUGGCACCUGGGUCGGGCAGCCGGGUAAGAGUGUGCACUUUCAUCGUCUAUUCAUACCCGUCCUGGGAAAAUCUUUCCAGCCUGGGAAAUGGCAACCUGACACGUUUCACCGGGACUCAACUUCCUGAGCGUAUGCACAGAAAACCCCACACCCUUCACCUUUAUUGAACAAGGAGGGAGCCCGAUAAGAAUCGCUGAAGAAACGCGGGGAGUGUCCCGCACAACCGGAUGGGUGUGGCAGGCAGCGUGGGCGAGUAGAGUGACCUGGGGCGGAAGAGGUGUCUGAAUUUGCGUGGCUCCAGCGGCUCAACCCCUCCGAGUCUUCAGUGCAGUAUCUGUGCAAAAGAGAAAAGCUUUGUAGAUACUCUCUGAAAUCGGCACUGAGCAGAUACCCAUUUCUUUUCCUUUCGCAUUUGCAGAAUGUAAUAUUUCUAGGGGAGCAGAAAGAAUUGGUUAGGAAAAGGCUGUUAAGGAAGGAGGGAAUUUGGGACUGACCUAAGGACUCUCUGGCCUCCACUCCUAUUGCCACACAAGUUUCUGCUGAGGCAGGAACCACCAUGCCUUCCAGGGACCUCCAGUCAAAAUCAAUGAAGUCUGCAAACAAUUUCAACUGUAGUAUUGUAGCCCCAAUAAAUAAAGAGCACUUAUUAAAACAUAUUGACUCGAAAAAUAUUUGACAUGGUGUGUUUGUAACAGGAGAAUGGGAGCUCAGGCCUUUCUUCUCAUUGAAGAUACCUCCACUCACCUUGUUCUCUAUGGGGAGAAAAACAAAUGAACAACAAACAGAUUUUGAAGCCACUGUCCUUUCUAACAGGCAGGUCAGUGGGAGGAUCCUAUGCAAACUGCAGGUACAAACCCCACCCCUACUUCCCAGGACGAACCUCAGCGCCCAGUGUCAUUCUUCAGGAAUUCCA